rnacentral:tRNA from 1 species
AAGGGUGUAGCUCAACUGGUAGAGCAACGGUCUCCAAAAUCGCAUGUCAUUGGUUCUAGUCCAGUCACCCUUGCCA